rnacentral:rRNA from 1 species
GAGAUAUAUACUGUCUCAUAUAUAUAAAAUGAAUUUAAAUUUUUAGUAAAAAUGCUUAAAUAAUUUUAUGGGACGAUAAGACCCUAUAGAAUUUUAUAUUAAAAUUUUAUUAAUUAUUUAGUUAAAAUUUUAAUAUUUAGUUGGGAGGAUUAGUAAAUAAAAUUAACUUUAUUUUAAAAAUAAACUUUGAUUUAAGGAUAAAGUUUUGAUCUUAUAUUAUAAAUUAAAAGAAUAAAUUACCUUAGGGAUAACAGCGUAAUAUCUUUUUAAAGAUCAUAUUAAUAAAGAUGUUUGCGACCUCGAUGUUGAAUUAAGAUAAAUUUUAAAUGAAGAAAUUUAAAAAUUAAGUCUGUUCGACUUUUAAAAUCUUACAUGA